UGGGGAAUCUUCCGCAAUGGACGAAAGUCUGACGGAGCAACGCCGCGUGAGUGAAGACGGCCUUCGGGUUGUAAAGCUCUGUGAUCCGGGACGAAAGAGCCUGAGGUGAAUAGCCUAAGGAAGUGACGGUACCGGAAAAGCAAGCCACGGCUAACUACGUGCCAGCAGCCGCGGUAAUACGUAGGUGGCAAGCGUUGUCCGGAAUUAUUUGGCGUAAAGCGCGCGCAGGCGGCUUCCUAAGUCCAUCUUAAAAGUGCGGGGCUUAACCCCGUGAUGGGAUGGAAACUGGGAAGCUGGAGUAUCGGAGAGGAAAGUGGAAUUCCUAGUGUAGCGGUGAAAUGCGUAGAGAUUAGGAAGAACACCGGUGGCGAAGGCGACUUUCUGGACGAAAACUGACGCUGAGGCGCGAAAGCGUGGGGAGCAAACAGG
rnacentral:rRNA from 1 species